GUAGGUGGCAAGCGUUGUCCGGGAAUUAUUGGGGCGUAAAGCGCGCGCAGGCGGUUCGUUUAAGUCUGAUGUGAAAGCCCACGGGCUCAACCGUGGAGGGUCAUUGGAAACUGGAGAACUUGAGUACAGAAGAGGAAAGCGGAAUUCCACGUGUAGCGGUGAAAUGCGUAGAGAUGUGGAGGAACACCAGUGGCGAAGGCGGCUUUCUGGUCUGUAACUGACGCUGAGGCGCGAAAGCGUCGGGAGCAAACAGGAUUAGAUACCCUGGUAGUCCACGCCGUAAACGAUGAGUGCUAAGUGUUAGGGGGUUUCCGCCCCUUAGUGCUGCAGCUAACGCAUUAAGCACUCCGCCUGGGGAGUACGGCCGCAAAGGCUG
rnacentral:rRNA from 1 species